rnacentral:tRNA from 1 species
UCCCUGGUGGCUCAGAUGGUAAAGCAUCUGUUUGCAAUGCAGGAGACCCAGGUUUGAUCCCUGGGUUGGGAA